rnacentral:lncRNA from 1 species
AUGCUUCCUGGGCUUGAAACCGUCAGAAUGCUUGAGAAAACAACAACACAGAAACUAUUACCAGUGGGUGCAGAAACAAGCCAGUUUUUAAUGAGGGAAAAACAAUGCCUGGCGGAGCGAGAUCACGUCCCCCAGUGGCUGGUGCUCCCACGCGGACCCCUGAGCAGUGUCCCGAGUGUGGGAGAAAAGAAGAGCGAUGGAUGGAUGGGGCUGUGCUCAGGGAAAUGCACACAGUGCCUACUGAGGGGGCGGAUCUGCAGCCUUCCAAGAAAAGAUGAAAUGAGGAAUGGGAGAUGUUUCAUCAGCGUGGUAGAAAGCUGACAAACAGGCAAGUACAAGCAGAUGGAUACAGAGAAGGUCAAAUAAGUCGGGUAACUUCAACUUCCAAAAGUUUCUUUAUAACAGAAUUUGCUGACACAUUUGAAGGGUUAAAGUGCACAAGAAGUAGCCAGGAGGAACAGAAUAUGAAGUAGUUCUCAAUGUAUUUGUUUAUAGAUCCAUUUAUUCAUAAUGACUACCUUGUGUGGCCAAGGAUCUGUAGUUCAUACUGCAGAUGAUAUUUUCGACAAGGGGGUGGUCAACGCUUUAUGAUCUGCAGCCCAAAUCCAUUUUGCAGGUGAAAUUUUAUUGCAAGCACAAACAUGCACGUUUGUUGAUGUAUUAUUUGGCUGCUUUUACAUCGUAACAGCAGAAAUGAAGAGUUGCAACAGAAACUACUGAACCUACAAUUUCAAAAUUAUUUGCCUUGUAGUCUUUUACAGCAAACGUGUGCAGCCCGCUAGAGGAUAGUACAAUGGGCUUCUUCUUACUUUUUAUAACAAACUUACAGUCUCAGUGUUAAUUACAAAUGUUAGAGCCAAAAUGCCCCCCACCUUUUAAAAUGGUAUACAGGGUCUAGCCAUUGAGAUAGAUGGGUGUUGGG